rnacentral:rRNA from 1 species
UACAGAGGUCUCAAGCGUUGUUCGGAUUCAUUGGGCGUAAAGGGUGCGUAGGCGGCGCGGUAAGUCGGGUGUGAAAUCCCGGGGCUCAACCCCGGAACUGCAUUCGAUACUGCCUGGCUAGAGUACUGGAGAGGAGAUUGGAAUUUACGGUGUAGCAGUGAAAUGCGUAGAUAUCGUAAGGAAGACCAGUGGCGAAGGCGGAUCUCUGGACAGUUACUGACACUGAGGCACGAAGGCCAGGGGAGCAAACGGGG